CACAGGCAGGCAGGGGUGGUAGGAGUGUGCGCUGGGGGCUGAAGAAGGGGAGGAACCUUUGCACGGAUGUUUGAGGACUGAAAGGAAGCAGAAGGAGAAGAGGUCAGUUGGGGAGCCAGUAGGCUGCUGAACCAGAGCCCUGCUAAAGGCUUUACUGCAUCUUCUGCCCAGGGCUCAGUGUUCUUUCCUGACUGCUACCUUCUGAUGCUCUGUGACUGUGGGAAACCAGCGGGCAGACACCUGUCAUCAUUUGUGCCAAUAAGCUCCAACCUUACUGUGGUGAUAUUAUCAGGCAAUAUUUACUCUUGCUGAGAACUGAUAGCUCUGAACAUCUGAUCUAAUCAUCUCUGCCCAACCUUCCAGGCUUUUGCUAUCUGAAACUCAGACACAAUUCCCUAUAUUCCUCUUAUCUGAAUAUUCCCUUCAACGUCUUGUACUAGUCACAGACUUGGCUGCACUAAGGACAGUGUUUCCCAGACACACUCCCAAGUGAUGACUCCCACCCACUCCACUCCACAGUGCCUAAAGGUGGGCAGGUAGGUACUCCUCAAUCUACUGCUGGGUCUGCACAGCUGGCCUGAAAGCCCCAGUUCUCUUGAGGAUUCUAUUAUUAUACUCUGUCAUCUGCUAACUUUCUUAAAGGAAGAAGAAACAACACCCGCAAGGCCAAUGACCUCCACUAGGAACCAGAGAACUGGGUAUAUGAUGAUAUCAAGAAAUUAUUAUUGGCAUAUUGCACCAAAGUAAAAGACUCUGGGGUGGGUGGGUGGGAGAAUACAGGUUCAAAAAGGAUGACAGAGGACCUAGUGGGGUUGUAUUGUUAUAUAGAAAACUGGGAAAUGUUAUGCAUGUACAAAAACUAUUGUAUUCAUUGUCAAAUGUAAAACAUUAAUUUCCCAAUAAAAAAGAAAUUAUUGCUAGUUUUUAUUAAUAAAAUUAAUAAUAAUAACAACUAU